GCGACUUUAGCUCAGUCGGGAGAGCGUUAGACUGAAGAUCUAAAGGUCCUGUGUUCGAUCCACAGAAGUCGCA
rfam:Babjeviella inositovora NRRL Y-12698 unplaced genomic scaffold BABINscaffold_1, whole genome shotgun sequence.